CGGAGGAUCCAAGCGUUGUCCGGAUUUAUUGGGUUUAAAGGUGCGUAGGUGGAUUAUUAAGUCAGGGGUGAGAGCCCGCAGCUCAACUGUGGAACUGCCCUUGAAACUGAUAAUCUUGAAUAUGGUUGAGGUAGGCGGAAUGUGUCAUGUAGCGGUGAAAUGCUUAGAUAUGAUACAGAACACCAAUUGCGAAGGCAGCUUACUAAGCCAUUAUUGACACUGAGGCACGAAAGCAUGGGGAGCAAACAGGAUUAGAUACCCUGGUAGUCCAUGCCCUAAACGUUGAUAACUCGUUGUUGGCGAUAUACAGUCAGCGACUAAGCGAAAGCGUUAAGUUAUCCACCUGGGGAGUACGUCCGCAAGGAUG
rnacentral:rRNA from 1 species